UCUUCACCUGCUGAACUAAUUACAUCCCCCUGAACCCCCCCCAAUUGUAGGGCCCUGCAGGAGGAAAACAUUUGUCUAUGAGGCCAUGCGUCCAUGCGUCUAUCACACACAGCAGGUCAAGCUCUGUGGGUUAAAUAUAGGUCAUGGCACCUUUGGAGUUGGCGUCAAAGCAGAGCUUGAUGUAGGACGUGGGCACGUAUCCCUCCUCGUCCUCGUUCCUGCGCACACGAGUCCAGCCGUCGCCUUUGUCCUCCUCGAUCACGUACAACAUCUCGCCUUCCGCCAUUGGGAUGGUGCCCUCGUUCUGACCUAAAGAGGACGCUGUUGUUCUAUUCCACCGGCCGUAUGGAAAUCGACUUAUCAGACAUUUUCAAUCAGUAUAAACAACUGAAUUUUUGUAUUGCCGCAAGUCUGUUAUAAGAUUAGUCAGGACAGUGUUGGGUUUCUGUGUGUAGAGUAUCGUGACUCUGUGUUUAGCUGCUGGUGAGCAGGGUGAUGGGAAAGGGGAGGAGUGUGAGCCUCGUGCUUGGCCAACAAUUCACACCUCUCCACAAAACAUUGGUACAGAGAUAAAACGGAUAGUACAACUAAAGCUUUUUUGAUACUAAAACACUGUAUGUAACUGCCACAAUAAAUUUAUAAUAUUUAAACGUAGUAGGCUUGGUAAAAUCAAAGAAGAAAUACUCAUGAAAAACUGCAAAUUCUUAAAGCCCAGAGGGUCUACUUUCAUCUGAGCAAUUAACCACUACUGUGGCGUGUGACAUCACUAAUAAAUUCAAUGCUGAACAUAGGCACCGCCAAAACAGGCACAAACUCCAUUUUUUGGCCUCUGGUGUAAAAAAAGUUAAGCAAAAACCCCGCAAAUUUGUGGUUAGAAAUGAUUGCACCAUUGUUUAAAUUGGUGGAGAUGCACAACGGGUGUGUGGUGUUCAAAAUGCAAUAAUACGAUACGAUAUUUUCAAACUGAGAAUGGCAGGAUAUUUUCAGACCUCCUUUGUUCAAAAUGGUGCCUGCUUUGUCACCUGUCCAAACUCCCUCUUAGUCCAGAUGCAAUGCUAAAACAGUGCUUUACCAACUCCAAGGUUACCAGUUCAACACUAUAUGGCCAAAAGUAUGUGGACACCUGACCUUCACACCCAAAAUGUAGGUCUUCCCCAAGGUGUUGCCACAACAUUGGAAGCACACUAUUACCUACAAUGUAUUUGCAUUCCCUUCACCGGAACUAAGCAGCCAAAACAUGUUCCAGCACGAUAAUGACAACUGUGGUCCUUGAAGACAUGGCUGGCCAAGCCUGGUGUGUCCUGCAAAGAGCCCUGACCUCAACCUCACUGAACACUUUUAGUUAGGCCUUGUGACAAUAAUAGCGAUUAAACUACUGAAAACCUUUGCCUUGCAGUGUAUAUUAUUAGAUCAUAACUGUAGAUAUGUAAUAUGGAAUAAAAUAUGGAAAAUGUUGUUCUUUGUAAUACAAGCUGUGCAAUUUGAGGCUUUAUUAGUCAUAAGUAUAUGCGUCUUAUAUAUAACACUGAGCUUGCUCUCUCAUUAUGAGACACACCGAAAUACAAUACUCUGAUUAUAAAAUACAAGCCAAGUGCUGUACUUAAGUAUGGUACUUGAUAUUUAGCAUCCUUUUACUGAGCUGUACCUGUAGGCCUGCUCUCCAGGAUGCUGUUAGUGCUAUUGUUUUGGUCAUGCUUUCUACACUAGUAGUCAAAUCAUAUGGUUCCUCAUAUAUCUCAGAGUUCCUUCUUUUAAUCUCUGCCCAACUCUUCUACUGUAAUCUGACUAUCUGGUCCAGCAAGAGAAAGAUAUAUUUCUGGAACUGUGUAAAUUACUGUUGUUAAAUGAUCUCUAUAGAAAUUUCAUUGAAACCGUGAUUAGACAAGUUGGGAAAGUUUCAUAUGGGG